UGGGCACCAAGCUGAAGAGAUGUGCUGCCAACCAACCUCCACAUGUGCGGGAAAACCUCUCCAAAAUGUUGGGCUGGUGAAGGCAUGAUGUUCUCCAGAGAGAUGACAACGUGCUGAGUUGGACACCUCCAGAUCUGCCUUGUUAGCUGUGCCAAAAGAGACCAAAUGCUAAGGAAGGGUGUGCACCUACCCCCUCUCUCUCCAUCGCCCUUCCUAGUCAUGGCAUGGGGGGCCUGAAGCAACUCCAGACUGAGGACAAGGUGAAGGCUGAUCAUGGCUCAGCCUCACACAGAGAUCGGACUGGUUACAGUCUUACCGAGAAGGUUCCUCUGGACAAUUCCCAUGGUGCCUUACCCACAAAGUCCUUGCCUGCUGUACAGAGAUCUCUUUUCUCCAAGUUCAGGAAGAAGCUGCUGCCUGUAUGAAGAUUGUUUGAAGAAUAGGAUUUAUGUGUUAGGUUUCGUAGUUACAGAUGCAUAUAUGUUCUGAUUCUUAGAUGUAGUUUUGAAUAAAUGUGUUUUGAUUGUAUCUUUAAAUCUUGAUUACAUAUUUUUAAUUGUAUAGAUUUUAUACUGAUGAUGAAAAAAAAGUAAAUAAAUAAAUCAAAUUUAAAUAAA